GCUUCCAUAGUCUAAUGGUGAGGACAUUUGACUUAAAGUCUAGUAACAUGAGUUCAAACCUUAAUGGAAUCU
rnacentral:tRNA from 1 species